rnacentral:rRNA from 1 species
UGGGCGGGGUAAUGGCCCACCAAGACAGUGAUCUGUAUCCGGCCUGAGAGGGCGCACGGACACACUGGAACUGAAACACGGUCCAGACUCCUACGGGAGGCAGCAGUGGGGAAUUUUGCGCAAUGGGGGAAACCCUGACGCAGCAACGCCGCGUGGAGGAUGAAGUCCUUCGGGACGUAAACUCCUUUCGAUCGGGACGAUAAUGACGGUACCGAGAGAAGAAGCCCCGGCUAACUUCGUGCCAGCAGCCGCGGUAAUACGAGGGGGGCGAGCGUUGUUCGGAAUUAUUGGGCGUAAAGGGUGCGUAGGCGGUUUGGUAAGUCUGAUGUGAAAUCUAUGGGCUCAACUCAUAGUCUGCAUCGGAAACUGCCGGGCUUGAGUAUGGGAGAGGUGAGUGGAAUUCCUGGUGUAGCGGUGAAAUGCGUAGAUAUCAGGAGGAACACCUGUGGCGAAAGCGGCUCACUGGACCAUAACUGACGCUGAUGCACGAAAGCUAGGGGAGCAAACAGGAUUAGAUACCCUGGUAGUCCUAGCCCUAAACGAUGACUGCUUGGUGUGACGGGUACCCAAUCCCGCCGUGCCGUAGCUAACGCGUUAAGCAGUCCGC